rnacentral:rRNA from 1 species
UUUGCGACUGAGGACGCUCGGGCGCGCCUGGCUUAGAGGUCGCGAACUCAAGUUGAUUUGAGCUAGGCCCUGCACUGCCGGGGUGAGAGUGAGGAAGGGGUGAUAAAUGCGUGCCCAACCUGCCCUGUGCAUGGGGAUAGCUAGUAGAAACGGGUGGUAAUACCCUAGGCUCCGCCCCCUAGCUGGUUGGGGAGGGAAAUGCUUUUUGCUGGAUGGGAUGGGGUCGCGUCCUAUCAGCUUGUUGCAGCAGUGGGGGCCCACCAAGGCGUUGCCGGGUAGCCGGCCAGAGAUGCCGACCGGCCACAUUGGGCCUUCGAUACGGCCCAGACUUUCAGCGAGGGCAGCAGUGGUGAGCUUAAUACGCUCAUCAAUUGACUGAUGCAGCGACGCCGCGUGCGGCAUGGAGGCCUUCAGGUUGUAAACCGCUACGGAGGGUGCAAGCGUUACGGCUUCGGGCUGGGUUGAAAGGAUUGUUCGAAUAAGCACCGGCUCACUACGUGCCAGCAGCCGCUCAAAUAGGGAGGGUGCGAGCGUUAUCCGGAUUUAGAGGGCGUAAAGGGCUCGUAGGCGGUUCGGUGCGUCCGGUGUGAAAGUAGAGAUCUGGAGGGUGGAUCUGCGCGAAGGCGGGGCGGGCUGGAGUGCGGUACGGGAGAGUGGAAUUCGCGUGGGGACGGUGGAAUGUGAGAUAUCGGGAAGAACACCAAUGGCGAAGGCAGGUCUCUGGGCCGUUACUGACGAUGAGGAGCGAAAGCGUGGGGAGCGAACAGGAUUAGCUACCCUGUACGGCCGCAAGGUUAAAACUCAAUGCUGGAUGUGGGGGCCCGCACAGCGGUGGAGCAUGUGAGCCAACGCGUUAAGCAUCCCGCCUGGGGAGUACGGCCGCAAGGCCAGAACUCAAAGAAAUUGACGGGGGCCCGCACAAGCGGCGGAGCAUGCGGAUUAAUUCGAUGCAACGCGAAGAACCUUACCUGGGCUUGGCAUGUGCCGGAUCACCCCGGAAACGGUGAUUCCCUUCGGGGCCGGUUCACAGGUGGUGCAUGGUCGUCGUCAGCUCGUGUCGUGAGAUGUUAGGUUAAGUCCCGCAACGAGCGCAACCCUCGCCGCAUGUUGCCAGCGGGUUAUGCCAGGAACUCAUGUGGGACCGCCGGGGUCAACUCGGAGGAAGGUGGGGAUGACGUCAGAUCAUCAUGCCCCUUACGUCCAGGGCUUCACGCAUGCUACAAUGGCCGGUACAACGCGAUGCGACACGGUGACGUGAGGCGGAUCGCUGAAAACCGGUCUCAGUUCGGAUCGCAGUCUGCAACUCGACUGCGUGAAGGCGGAGUCGCUAGUAAUCGCGGAUCAGCAACGCCGCGGUGAAUGCGUUCCCGGGCCUUGUACACACCGCCCGUCAAGUCAUGAAAGUGGGUAGCACCCGAAGCCGGUGGCCCGACCCUCGUGGGGGGAGCCGUCUAAGGUGAGACUCGUGAUUGGGACUAAGUCGUAACAAGGUAGCCG